GACGGUCUCCGUUGGAAGGACCGCCUACCGAAAUGGGCCGGGGAAACCCGGCAGGGGAAACCCUGGGCAAUGCUGCAAGAAAUCAAGGGGUCUAGUCCGAUGAAGAUGAAAAGUAAGGUUCGGGGGCAACCCCGAACUAACCUGGAGAGGACUAGACAUACCUUGAGAAAAGCAUCCCCCUGGUACAAGGAAAAACCGCUUAGAAAAAUAUAUACUAAAGGCGGCCUACGGAGACCGUC
rnacentral:RNase_P_RNA from 1 species